UGGUCCGUCCCAGUCCCUGCUGGUCAGCCUGUAGUCUGCUGGGUUUCGCCUGGGGACCAGAUCAUUCCAGAAGCCUCACCCAGGGAAGUGAGCUAGGCUUCAGGAGGCUUGUUCCAGGGGUGCUUCUAGACUUCA
ensembl:snoRNA